rnacentral:rRNA from 1 species
GACGAACGCUGGCGGCGUGCCUAAUACAUGCAAGUAGAACGCUGAAGAGAGGAGCUUGCUCUUCUUGGAUGAGUUGCGAACGGGUGAGUAACGCGUAGGUAACCUGCCUUGUAGCGGGGGAUAACUAUUGGAAACGAUAGCUAAUACCGCAUAACAAUGGAUGACACAUGUCAUUUAUUUGAAAGGGGCAAUUGCUCCACUACAAGAUGGACCUGCGUUGUAUUAGCUAGUAGGUGAGGUAACGGCUCACCUAGGCGACGAUACAUAGCCGACCUGAGAGGGUGAUCGGCCACACUGGGACUGAGACACGGCCCAGACUCCUACGGGAGGCAGCAGUAGGGAAUCUUCGGCAAUGGGGGCAACCCUGACCGAGCAACGCCGCGUGAGUGAAGAAGGUUUUCGGAUCGUAAAGCUCUGUUGUAAGUCAAGAACGAGUGUGAGAGUGGAAAGUUCACACUGUGACGGUAGCUUACCAGAAAGGGACGGCUAACUACGUGCCAGCCGCCGCGGUAAUACGUAGGUCCCGAGCGUUGUCCGGAUUUAUUGGGCGUAAAGCGAGCGCAGGCGGUUUGAUAAGUCUGAAGUUAAGGCUGUGGCUCAACCAUAGUUCGCUUUGGAAACUGUCAAACUUGAGUGCAGAAUUUGAGAGUGGAAUUCCAUGUGUAGCGGUGAAAUGCGUAGAUAUAUGGAGGAACACCGGUGGCGAAAGCGGCUCUCUGGUCUGUAACUGACGCUGAGGCUCGAAAGCGUGGGGAGCGAACAGGAUUAGAUACCCUGGUAGUCCACGCCGUAAACGAUGAGUGCUAGGUGUUGGAUCCUUUCCGGGAUUCAGUGCCGCAGCUAACGCAUUAAGCACUCCGCCUGGGGAGUACGACCGCAAGGUUGAAACUCAAAGGAAUUGACGGGGGCCCGCACAAGCGGUGGAGCAUGUGGUUUAAUUCGAAGCAACGCGAAGAACCUUACCAGGUCUUGACAUCCCGAUGCUAUUUCUAGAGAUAGAAAGUUACUUCGGUACAUCGGUGACAGGUGGUGCAUGGUUGUCGUCAGCUCGUGUCGUGAGAUGUUGGGUUAAGUCCCGCAACGAGCGCAACCCCUAUUGUUAGUUGCCAUCAUUCAGUUGGGCACUCUAGCGAGACUGCCGGUAAUAAACCGGAGGAAGGUGGGGAUGACGUCAAAUCAUCAUGCCCCUUAUGACCUGGGCUACACACGUGCUACAAUGGUUGGUACAACGAGUUGCGAGUCGGUGACGGCAAGCUAAUCUCUUAAAGCCAAUCUCAGUUCGGAUUGUAGGCUGCAACUCGCCUACAUGAAGUCGGAAUCGCUAGUAAUCGCGGAUCAGCACGCCGCGGUGAAUACGUUCCCGGGCCU